UAGGGAAUCUUCGGCAAUGGACGGAAGUCUGACCGAGCAACGCCGCGUGAGUGAAGAAGGUUUUCGGUUCGUAAAGCUCUGUUGUAAGAGAAGAACGAGUGUGAAAGUGGAAAGUUCACACUGUGACGGUCUCUUACCAAAAAGGGACGGCUAACUACGUGCCACCAGCCGCGGUAAUACGUAGGUCCCGAGCGUUGUCCGGAUUUAUUGGGCGUAAAGCGAGCGCAGGCGGUUAGAUAAGUCUGAAGUUAAAGGCUGUGGCUUAACCAUAGUACGCUUUGGAAACUGUUUAACUUGAGUGCAAGAGGGGAGAGUGGAAUUCCAUGUGUAGCGGUGAAAUGCGUAGAUAUAUGGAGGAACACCGGUGGCGAAAGCGGCUCUCUGGCUUGUAACUGACGCUGAGGCUCGAAAGCGUGGGGAGCAAACAGGAUUAGAUACCCUGGUAGUCCACGCCGUAAACGAUGAGUGCUAGGUGUUAGACCCUUUCCGGGGUUUAGUGCCGUANCUAACGCAUUAANCACUCCGCCUGGGGAGUACGACCGCNNGGUUG
rnacentral:rRNA from 1 species